UCAGUUUGUCAUCUACGACCACAGUUCCUUAGCUCUAUAUGUACCCCAGUUAACGGCGGCCACCGUCAGCACCUCCGGCGACGGCGACUCUCCGGUCAAUCUGAACUCCAUAUAUACGCAGGCCUGUAAUCUUGCUGAUCUCUCUCUCUCUCCCUCUCUCUGUCUCUGUCUCUCUCAACUGGACAAUCAGAAUCAAUUCUCGUUCUCUCCAGCAACGGAGGGUUUCACCGGGAGUCUGCUUGAAGCUGAGUGAACUUGGAAGGAUUUUCACUCACCCGCUCAUUCCUCUGAAGCUUCUGGCUGCUUCAAGAAAAUGUUGUUAUUCUAUCGAGGGGAGGACCUGUCCUCCUUGGUCUUGCUAAGCUAACCUGAAUGUAUUGCCUUCUGAAGAUUUGGUGGUCUCUGGGUUCAGAUUGUUUCUGGACGAAACUGCUCUCGUUUCACUUGCUCAAUGUGGAAAAUUCCUUAAAGUGGCUCCUCUCAGAUCACCCCUCCGCCCUAUUAUCCUAUGGAAGAUCAAUCUUUAGCAGCCAUCAAUGCCGAGCAGCACUCUUUUCAUGUUGCAACUACUGAUCCUCCUAUUGUUGUUUCCGAUUCGGCUCUGUCAAACUAUUCUCUAGCUAUUGGCCAGGAAUUUCCCGAUGUUGAGACUUGCAGGAGGAUAUUAAAAGACACUGCCAUUGCACUUCAUUUCGAUCUCCGAAUAGUAAAGUCAGAUCGGAGCCGUUUUAUAGCCAAGUGCUCCAAAGAAGGCUGUCCAUGGCGUAUUCACGUGGCCAAAUGCCCUGGAGUUCCCACUUUUUCUAUAAGAACCCUACAAGGGGAGCACACUUGUGAAGGAGUUCGCAACCACCACCAUCAACAAGCCUCAGUGGGUUGGGUUGCAAGAUCUGUGGAAGCACGAAUCCGUGAUAACCCACAGUUGAAGCCCAAGGAAAUUCUGCACGAUAUUCAAGAGGAGCAUGGAGUCGUUGUCUCCUACAUGCAGGCUUGGCGUGGGAAAGAAAGGAGCAUGGCGGCACUUCAUGGGACCUUUGACGAAGGUUACCGCCUCCUUCCUGCUUACUGUGAACAAAUAAGGAAAAGUAACCCCGGAAGCAUUGCCUCGGUUUUUGCUACUGGACCAGAAAACUGUUUUCAGCGGCUAUUUAUUUCAUAUCGUGCAUCAAUAUACGGGUUCAUAAAUUCCUGCAGGCCACUUUUGGAGAUCGAUAGAGCACAUCUGAAAGGCAAGUAUUUGGGUACACUGCUCUGUGCUGCAGCUGUUGAUGCUGAUGAUUCUUUGUUUCCACUUGCUAUAGCAGUUGUUGAUGUGGAAACCGAUGAAAAUUGGAUGUGGUUUAUGUCAGAGUUGCGAAAGCUUCUCGGUGUAAAUACAGAAAACAUGCCUAGACUUACUAUACUGUCCGAGAGACAGAGGAGUAUGGUUGAAGCAGUGGAAACGCAUUUUCCAAGUGCUUUUCAUGGAUUUUGUCUGCGACACGUUAGUGAAAAUUUCCGGGAUACUUUCAAGAACUCUAAGCUGGUUAACAUAUUCUGGAAUGCCGUCUAUGCCCUCACAGCAGUUGAAUUUGAGAGCAAGAUUUCUGAGAUGGUGGAGAUCUCGCAGGAUGUAUUGCCAUGGUUUCAACGCUUUCCCCCUCAGCUGUGGGCAGUGGCUUACUUUGAAGGAGUCCGAUAUGGGCAUUUCACGCUCGGGAUUAGAGAAAUAUUGUACAAGUGGGCCCUCGAUUGCCACGAACUGCCAAUCCUGCAGAUGAUGGAGCACAUACGCGAUCAGUUAAAUUCUUGGUUUCAUCAGCGCCAGGAAAUGGCCAUGAGGUGGACUUCUAUACUGGCCCCUUCUGCAGAGAAACGGAUUAUGGAGGCAAUCUCAGAUUCCCGAUGCUAUCAAGUACUCCGUGCAAAUGAGGUUGAAUUUGAGAUUGUAUCUACGGAGAGGACAAACAUAGUCGAUAUUAGGAGUCGGGUCUGUUCCUGUCGAAGGUGGCAGCUCUAUGGGGUACCCUGUGCUCAUGCAGCUGCUGCACUCAUUUCCUGUGGGCACAAUGCGCAUUUAUUUGCCGAGCCAUGUUUUACAGUGGCAAGUUACCGGGAAACAUACUCUCAGAUGAUAAACCCAAUUCCAGAUAAGAGAUUAUGGAAGGAAACAGGGGAAGGAACUGAGACCGAUGGUGGAGGGGCAAAGGCUGAUAUUGCAAUUCGCCCACCCAAGAUUCGGAGGCCGCCUGGUAGGCCCAAAAAGAAGGUUCUUCGCGUCGAGAACUUCAAACGCCCAAAAAGGGUCGUUCAGUGUGGCCGCUGCCAUUUGUUAGGGCACUCACAGAAGAAGUGUACAAUGCCAGUCUGACCGAAAGUCUUAGUGCUACCCUCUUUGUUCCCUUUCUAAAACAGUCUCUUUUCCGAUGUAGGAUUGUUACUGGGUUACUUGGAUACCAAGCUCUAUUUAAUCCUUGGGCGAAGUUUGUCGGUGGAUGCAGCACCGCCAGUGCAAUUCAGAAUCCGACCUGUGAAAUUAAACUUGACAAUUUGUAGAUUUGGAAGAUGUUUCACAUUGGAUUGUAAUCAACAUAUCUUACAGGGCCUAUAGUUUGCGUUUUCGUUUCAGUUUGCUGCUAUGUAAUAGAUCGUGAUAGAUGUAAUAGCUUGGAUGUGGCUUCAGGGCCUUGAGAUCGGCAGAAACUAGCGAUCGCUGUUCGCUGUUGCUGGUGGAACUUGGCGGAGGGAUUGCAAAGAGCCACGGAGGGGGGGUGGUAGAGCGGUGGUGGGAAUUCGAAAUUUGAUGAAUAAUCAAGGAUAUAUUGGUAUUU